UUCAAUUUCAUUCAUUUUUGAUACAAAGAUCCAUCGUGUGGUUGUUGCUGUCUCGUCGUAUUAUGCGCUGUCAGAAAAAAAAUUACUGUAACCUGUUUUACUUUUAAUUUGUGUACAUUUAAUAUAACAGGAAUUAAUGUACAUAUCUGUACUGUUAGAUUAAACAUUUAAAGGUACACUAUAUGUAUAUUAAUUUCUGGAUGAAAUAUACAUGCUAAAUGUACUAACGAUGUAUGCUUCAGAAGACCACCUCAGUGACGAAGAAAAAUAGUACAGGGUUUUUUGUUUUGUUUUUUCCCGACAAGACCUCAAUGCCAUUAAAAUAACACUAGAAAAGAAAAUGAGUAAAUGUUCAUAUAUGGUAUACAAAACAAGUUAUUUCCUGCAGAUUAAUGUAACCUGUGCCCUGUAUAGAUAAAUGGCUGAUACUUGUAAUCAUUAGUCCUUAAAUAAGCACUACAUAAUAUUAAUUUUUGCCUAUGUGUAAAAUUUUGACGGUGCAAAAAAUGUGUUGACUCUACAAUUUGGGCUCACUUGUGCCUGCUUAUACUUAAUUGUUUAAUCAUAAAUUUUCAUAAUAAGUCAGAAAAUCUGUGACAAGCUGAGAACAGCAAACCAAGCAUCAACCUCAGCUGAGUCAUAUGAUCCAUUUGGAAAAAGAAUCCAUAUAAUCUGUAUGAAUAAUUUAAAAUGACCGUGCCUUGACAGGUUUAGAUCGGUAGCCAUUUUGAGCUGCCAUAAUUGAAAACGCUGAAAGACAGGAGAUUAGCUGAACUUUCGAGGUCAUUUGUUCUUAAUGUUUUGUUAAAAAGGCUAGUAAAUUAUGUAGCUUUUUUUUCAUAGUAGAUGAUAUAGUUUAGCUUUGCCAAGUAGUUUUAACAUAGUUUCAUGUGGUUUCUUUUGUGAAAAUGUUUUAUUAUAUUACUUCAAAGAGUGUUAUAUAUUAAGGAUAAUCUUGCAUGCUUACCAACAGCAGGAUAACUGAAAUUCAAACAGUGAAAUGAAAUGUACAAUGAAAACAGUUCUCUCUCCUCUCUCAUGGCAUGUAAAUUCUUGGAGAAUACUCAGUUCUAAAGCAUUCUAUUGUGUCUGUCUAUAUUCAUAAAACACAACCACCACUGCACAUUUUCUAAUAUCAGUGUUUUAGUAUAUUCCAAUCCCAAUAAAUAAUGUUCAUCAUCCUUUAAGCCAGGGUUUCUCAAUCCAGUUGCACACAGGAACCCCUUCAAUUUCAAAAGGCAUUACAGCCACUCCAUCAGUAUAGGUUUAAUUCAUGAACAUAAUCCAACUACUCAACGAUUAAUCUCUUUAUUCCAUUGUGUACUGUAAUGUUCUGCAUAUUUGCUGGAUUAAAGCCACAGAGCUUGUUAUUCCAGAACUUUCCACUGUCUGAACGUAUGAGAGGCAAGUUGACGUGAUUUAUAGCCUGACAUGUUUUUGAGUUAUUUAGGAUUUGGUUCAAGCGGUCAAACAGGAGAUAAGGACUCAAAAAUAAUGAAUGAUAUCUUUGGAUAAUGGUGGUUUGUGAUUUCUGAUACUCUGCUGGUGAGGACUCUACUUUAAGAAUGACAGCUUUAAGAAGGUAUAUGGUUUAAAUUCACUCAGACAAAUUUUUAUCUCUGAUGAUAAUUGAUGAUAUUGCAUGAACGUUCAUGGGCGUUAUUACAUAUAAUAGGACACUGCAGUCUGCUGUAGCUUUAUACAGUUUUACAGAGCUUAGAUACCACCUACUGUAGCAGGUGUAUCUUUAUCAAGUUAAAAAUCAAUAGGAUAUUUUUUCAUUGUUCUGAUAUUACUGCACAAAUAAAGGCUUUAAACUAUUUAGGCAUCAUUUUAAUUGUGGACGUUGUAUAAUUAUGUAGAUCACGUGUAAUACAGGAUCUUAUAUUUAAAACAAGUAGUUUAAAGACAUCCUUUAUGCAUUACACAAUUAAAGUUAUAAGAGUGUAAUAUUAUGCUCAGUAGAGUAUAUGACCACAGAGUGAGCAGAAGUUAUGGUGUCUUGUGCAACAGGAAGCACAGCACAAUAUUUUUAGACACAUGGGCCAAAAUUCAUCUUAAGCAAUCUCACAAGGAUGUUACACAUGCCCUUCGUAAGUGCUCCUCAUACAGAAUACAGAGGGACGGUUGGACCAGUUGCUGUCAGAGCUUACAGAUUAACUGGAUGUACCUGGAUCCAAACUUUUCAACAGAGAGCUAUAACUCCGAAUUAAAGUAAAGUCAAGUCAUAAAAAUGGAUGUGACACGAAGCCAAAGGCAGUCCAGAGGAAAGAGAACAAUACACGGAGAAACAAGCAGAGCCUCAUGCUCAUUAGCCUGCUUCAUCAGCCAGAGACUGAAAGAGAGCGUGGAGCGACAGAAAUAUAGAGGGAUCUGGGGGAGCAAACAAUACGCUGAUAGAUGGUGUAAAGGAGAAAGAAGGAGCAAUUCGUUGUGUCAGUGUUACGAUGCUCGUGGAACACUGAUGCUUUGUGCUGUUGUAGAACAACCUCUAUUUAAGUGAUGAUAGGCCAGUCAAGUCUGUGUGCAAGCUGUGUUCAUGGUAAACACAAUAUCUUGACUGUCACAGGUAGAAACAUCUGGAAUUCUUCAUCAAUAACCUUCAUUCAGCAUUGAAGGAACUCUAAAUCCCGCAAAACAUUCCAAACACACACCACUGACAGGCAGAUUGAAGAUGUGGAAAGCCUAGCGAAUGCCUGAGGAUCUCCUAUAGGACAAACAGCCAGUAUGGACAUCCAUAUGUUUUUUCUCAAAAGGGUUCCACUGUUAUUCCUUUGUCUGUUUUCUCUUAAAAAGUUACAUGUUGCAUACAUCUACUCUUUCAGUGCUUGGUAGCCUUUCUAUUUAACCACCACCACCACCACCUACACCUCUUAAAAAAAACUAAUAUCAUACGGAAAUAAAGUACCAACUCCUCGGCUCAGGUUAAAAGCCUAUGCCUGUGAUUUAAUUGGAGGAUUUAGUCAGUAAAAGUGAAAGUUGUCUUCUGAAUCCCAGUUCAAGCAAAAUGAUGAAAGCAUCUCAUCUUAAAUCAAUUUCAUUACCUCCAUCUUAAGGUUUUAAUCCUCUCAGCGAUUUUGAAAAAAAAAAUCCUUAAUAAAAAAACAGCCCUAUUAAGCACCCAACCAGUGCAAUUUUAUUAAUUGUUAAAUAACACACCUUAAACCAGUGAAAUUAAAAGUUUAUCAUUGAAUUUACAAGAAAUUAAAAGUAGC